GUAGGUGGCAAGCGUUGUCCGGGAAUUAUUGGGGCGUAAAGCGCGCGCAGGCGGUCCUUUGAGUCUGAUGUGAAAGCCCACGGGCUCAACCGUGGAGGGUCAUUGGAAACUGGGGGACUUGAGUGCAGAAGAGAAGAGUGGAAUUCCACGUGUAGCGGUGAAAUGCGUAGAGAUGUGGAGGAACACCAGUGGCGAAGGCGACUCUUUGGUCUGUAACUGACGCUGAGGCGCGAAAGCGUGGGGAGCAAACAGGAUUAGAUACCCUGGUAGUCCACGCCGUAAACGAUGAGUGCUAAGUGUUAGAGGGUUUCCGCCCUUUAGUGCUGCAGCAAACGCAUUAAGCACUCCGCCUGGGGAGUACGGCCGCAAAGGCUG
rnacentral:rRNA from 1 species